rnacentral:rRNA from 1 species
CAGUGGGGAAUAUUGCACAAUGGGCGCAAGCCUGAUGCAGCGACGCCGCGUGAGGGAUGACGGCCUUCGGGUUGUAAACCUCUGUUAGCAUCGAAGAAGCGAAAGUGACGGUAGGUGCAGAGAAAGCGCCGGCUAACUACGUGCCAGCAGCCGCGGUAAUACGUAGGGCGCGAGCGUUGUCCGGAAUUAUUGGGCGUAAAGAGCUUGUAGGCGGUUGGUCGCGUCUGCUGUGAAAGGCCGGGGCUUAACUCCGGUUUUGCAGUGGGUACGGGCUAACUAGAGUGCAGUAGGGGAGACUGGAAUUCCUGGUGUAGCGGUGGAAUGCACAGAUAUCAGGAGGAACACCGAUGGCGAAGGCAGGUCUCUGGGCUGUAACUGACGCUGAGAAGCGAAAGCAUGGGGAGCGAACAGGAUUAGAUACCCUGGUAGUCCAUGCCGUAAACGUUGGGCACUAGGUGUGGGGGACAUUCCACGUUUUCCGCGCCGUAGCUAACGCAUUAAGUGCCCCGCCUGGGGAGUACGGCCGCAAGGCUAAAACUCAAAGGAAUUGACGGGG